GACGAACGCUGGCGGCGUGCUUAACACAUGCAAGUCGAACGGAAAGGCCCUGCUUGCAGGGUACUCGAGUGGCGAACGGGUGAGUAACACGCGGGUGAUCUGCCCUGCACUUCGGGAUAAGCCUGGGAAACUGGGUCUAAUACCGGAUAGGAGCCAUUUUGAGUGGGAUGGUUGGAAAGUUUUUUCGGUUUAGGAUGAGCUCGCGGCCUAUCAGCUUGUUGGUGGGGUAAUGGCCUACCAAGGCGGCGACGGGUAGCCGGACUGAGAGGGUGGACGGCCACAUUGGGACUGAGAGACGGCCCAGACUCGUACGGGAGGCCGAAGUGGGGAAGAUUGAACAAUGGGCGCAAGCCUGAUGCAGCGACGCCGCGUGGGGGAUGACGGCCUUCGGGUUGUAAACUCCUUUCGCUAGGGACGGAGCUUUUUGUGACGGUACCUAGAUAAGAAGCACCGGCUAACUACGUG
rnacentral:rRNA from 1 species